AGCCAUGGGCAGGUUGAAGGUUGGGUAACACUAACUGGAGGACCGAACCGACUAAUGUUGAAAAAUUAGCGGAUGACUUGUGGCUGGGGGUGAAAGGCCAAUCAAACCGGGAGAUAGCUGGUUCUCCCCGAAAGCUAUUUAGGUAGCGCCUCGUGAACUCAUCUUCGGGGGUAGAGCACUGUUUCGGCUAGGGGGUCAUCCCGACUUACCAACCCGAUGCAAACUACGAAUACCGAAGAAUGUUAUCACGGGAGACACACGGCGGGUGCUAACGUCCGUCGUGAAGAGGGAAACAACCCAGACCGCCAGCUAAGGUCCCAAAGUCAUGGUUAAGUGGGAAACGAUGUGGGAAGGCACAGACAGCCAGGAUGUUGGCUUAGAAGCAGCCAUCAUUUAAAGAAAGCGUAAUAGCUCACUGGUCGAGUCGGCCUGCGCGGAAGAUGUAACGGGGCUAAACCAUGCACCGAAGCUGCGGCAGCGACACUAUGUGUUGUUGGGUAGGGGAGCG
rnacentral:rRNA from 1 species